UUGCCAGCAGCCGCGAUCUACUAACGUUUCAUGAGUGACUCGGAAUUACUGGGCGUAAAGCGUGCGUAGGUGUUCGUUUAAGUCCGUUGUGAAAGCCCUGGGCUCAACCUGGGAACUGCAGUGGAUACUGGGCGACUAGAGUGUGGUAGAGGGUAGCGGAAUUCCUGGUGUAGCAGUGAAAUGCGUAGAGAUCAGGAGGAACAUCCAUGGCGAAGGCAGCUACCUGGACCAACACUGACACUGAGGCACGAAAGCGUGGGGAGCAAACAGGAUUAGAUACCCUGGUAGUCCACGCCCUAAACGAUGCGAACUGGAUGUUGGGUGCAAUUUGGCACGCAGUAUCGAAACUAGCGCGUUAAGUUCGCCGCCUGGGGAGUACGGUCGCAAGACUGAAACUCAAAGGAAUUGACGGGGGCCCGCACAAGCGGUGGAGUAUGUGGUUUAAUUCGAUGCAACGCGAAGAACCUUACCUGGCCUUGACAUGUCAAGAACUUUCCAGAGAUGGAUUGGUGCCUUCGGGAACUCGAACACAGGUGCUGCAUGGCUGUCGUCAGCUCGUGGUCAGGAGAUGUUUGGGUUAAGUC
rnacentral:rRNA from 1 species